UACGAAGGGGGCUAGCGUUGUUCGGAAUUACUGGGCGUAAAGCACACGUAGGCGGAUACUUAAGUCAGGGGUGAAAUCCCGGGGCUCAACCCCGGAACUGCCUUUGAUACUGGGUAUCUCGAGUCCGGAAGAGGUGAGUGGAAUUCCGAGUGUAGAGGUGAAAUUCGUAGAUAUUCGGAGGAACACCAGUGGCGAAGGCGGCUCACUGGUCCGGUACUGACGCUGAGGUGCGAAAGCGUGGGGAGCAAACAGG
rnacentral:rRNA from 1 species